GAUGAACGCUAGCGGCAGGCCUAAUACAUGCAAGCCGAACGGCAAGCUUUGUAGCAAUACAGAGCCUAGAGUGGCGUAAGGGUGCGUAACACGUAUGGAAUCUGCCCUCAACAGGAGGAUAGCUCCCCGAAAGGGGAAUUAACACUCCAUAGGAUAUAGGUGUGGCAUCACAUUUAUAUUAAACCGCAAGGGGUUGAGGAUGAGCAUGCGCAUGAUUAGUUAGUUGCCGGGGUAACGGCCCACCAAGACGAUGAUCAUUAGGGGAACUGAGAGGUUGAUCCCCCACACUGGCACUGAGAUACGGGCCAGACUCCUACGGGAGGCAGCAGUAGGGAAUAUUGGACAAUGGGCGAGAGCCUGAUCCAGCCAUGCCGCGUGCAGGAAGAAAGCCUUCUGGGUUGUAAACUGUCUUUUACCGGGGGAUAAAUAGUCUUGCGAGACGAAUUGAAGGUACCUGGUGAAUAAGCCACGGCUAACUACGUGCC
rnacentral:rRNA from 1 species